GUUGCUUCAUGGCCUUUUGGCUAAGUUCAAGUGUAGUAUCUGUCCUUAUCAGUUUAAUAACUGAUACAUCCUCUAUCUGAGGACAAUACAUUAAAUGGAUUUCUGGAGCGGGGAGAUGGAAUGAGAACCAGUUUCCUCCACUCCAUGCAUCAACCUGGUAUUGCAGUACCUCCAGAAAUGGUGCACCCCUC
rnacentral:snRNA from 1 species